rnacentral:rRNA from 1 species
UUGUGGUUAAAAAGCUCGUAGUUGGAUCUCGGCGGACUGAGGGCGGUUUGCUUGCUAGUAUUACUGCCCUAUAGUCCGUAGUUUUGCCAGAGGUUUCGGGGUGCUCUUAAUCGCGUGUCCCGGGAUGCUGGCAGGUUUACUUUAAAAAAAUUAGAGUGCUCAAAGCAGGCUAUUACGCCUGAAUAUUCGUGCAUGGAAUAAUAGAAUAGGAAGUCGUUUCUAUUUUGUUGGUUUUCGGAAAUCGACUUAAUGAUUAAUAGGGACAGUCGGGGGCAUUUGUAUUCAAACGACAGAGGUGAAAUUCUUGGACCGCUUGAAGACAAACUACUGCGAAAGCAUUUGCCAAGAAUGUUUUCAUUAAUCAAGAACGAAAGUUAUAGGUUCGAAGGCGAUUAGAUACCGCCCUAGUUUUAACCAUAAACGAUGCCAGCUAGCGAUCUGCGGACGUUUUUUUUGUAAGACUCCGCAGGAAGCUUCCGGGAAACCCAAGCAUUUGGGUUCCAGGGGGAAGUAUGGUUGCAAAGCUGAAACUUAAAGGAAUUGACCGAA